rnacentral:rRNA from 1 species
AUACGGAGGGGGCUAGCGUUGUUCGGAAUUACUGGGCGUAAAGGGCGCGUAGGCGGAUCGUCACGUCAGAGGUGAAAGGCCUGGGCUCAACCUGGGAACUGCCUUUGAAACUGAUGGUCUAGAGUCCGGAAGAGGAUGGCGGAAUUCCCAGUGUAGAGGUGAAAUUCGUAGAUAUUGGGAAGAACACCAGUGGCGAAGGCGGCCAUCUGGUCCGGUACUGACGCUGAGGUGCGAAAGCGUGGGGAGCAAACAGGAUUAGAAACCCCGGUAGUCC